UACGUAGGGGCCGAGCGUUGUCCGGAGUUACUGGGCGUAAAGCGCGCGCAGGCGGCUUCGCGCGCCCGACGUGAAAGCCCUCGGCUCAACCGGGGAAGGGCGUCGGGGACGGCGGGGCUUGAGGGCGGCAGGGGCCGGUGGAAUGCCCGGUGUAGUGGUGAAAUGCGUAGAGAUCGGGCGGAACACCCGGGGCGAAGGCGGCCGGCUGGGCCGACUCUGACGCUGAGGCGCGAAGGCGUGGGGAGCGAACGGG
rnacentral:rRNA from 1 species